UACGGGGGGGGCAAGCGUUGUUCGGAAUUACUGGGCGUAAAGGGCUCGUAGGCGGCCAACUAAGUCAGACGUGAAAUCCCUAGGCUCAACCUAGGAACUGCGUCUGAUACUGGAUGGCUUGAAUCCGGGAGAGGGAUGCAGAAUUCCAGGUGUAGCGGUGAAAUGCGUAGAUAUCAGGAAGAACACCGGUGGCGAAAGCGCUCUGCUAGGCCGCAACUGACACUGAGGGACGAAAGCUAGGGGAGCGAAUGGG
rnacentral:rRNA from 1 species